AAUAUUAGAGGCUAAGACCUACGGAUUUUUGACCAAGAAAUGGUCUCCACCAGAAAUCCAAGAAUGUGAUCUAUGGCGAGGAAACAUAUGUGGGGUGAGGUGUAUGAGCCUCUGGUCGAUGAUCAAUGGCCACACAACCCCCAUUUUUGUCGAAAAUAGCCAUGAACGACCAUUUUCAAUAAUACCGAAGGCUAACACCUACGGAUUUUUGACCAAGAAAUGGUCUCCACCAGAAAUCCAAGAAUGUGAUCUAUGGCAAGGAAACAUAUGUGGGGUGAGGUGUACGAGCCUCUGGUCGAUGAUCAAUGGCCACAGAACCCCCAUUUUGCCGAAAAUAGCCAUGAACGACCAUUUUCAAUAAUACCGAAGGCUAACACCUACGGAUUUUUGACCAAGAAAUGGUCUCCACCAGAAAUCCAAGAAUGUGAUCUAUGGCAAGGAAACAUAUGUGGGGUGAGGUGUACGAGCCUCUGGUCGAUGAUCAAUGGCCACAGAACCCCCAUUUUGCCGAAAAUAGCCAUGAACGACCAUUUUCAAUAAUACCGAAGGCUAACACGUACGAGUUUUUGACCAAGAAAUGGUCUCCACCAGAAAUCCAAGAAUGUGAUCUAUGGCAAGGAAACAUAUGUGGGGUGAGGUGUAUGAGCCUCUGGUCGAUGAUCAAUGGCCACACAACCCCCAUUUUUGUCGAAAAUAGCCAUGAACGACCAUUUUCAAUAAUAUCGAAGGCUAACACCUACGGUUUUUUGACCAAGAAAUGGUCUCCACCAGAAAUCCAAGAAUGUGAUCUACAACAAGGAAACAUAUGUGGGGUGAGGUGUAUGAGCCUCUGGUCGACGAUCAAUGGCCACACAACCCCCAUUUUGCCGAAAAUAGCCAUGAAUGACCAUUUUCAAUAAUACUGAAGGCUAACACGUACGCGUUUUUAACCAAGAAAUGGUUUCCACCAGAAAUCCAAGAAUGUAAUCUAUGGCAAGGAAACAUAUGUGGGGUGAGGUUUAUGAGCCUCUAGUCGAUGAUAAAUGGCCACACAACCCCCAUUUUUUAUGAAAAUAGCCAUGAGCGACCUUGAAAAUAGCCAUGAGCGACCAUUUUCAAUAAUACUAGAGGCUAACACCUACGGAUUUUAGACCAAGAAAUGGUCUCCACCAGAAAUCCAAGAAUGUGAUCUAUGGCAAGGAAACAAAUGUGGGGUGAGGUGUAUGAGCGUCUGGUCGAUGAUCAAUGGCCACACAACCCCCAUUUUUGUCGAAAAUAGCCAUGAACGACCAUUUUCAAUAAUACCGAAGGCUAACACCUACGGAUUUUUGACCAAGAAAUGGUCUCCACCAGAAAUCCAAGAAUGUGAUCUAUGGCAAGGAAACAUAUGUGGGGUGAGGUGUAUGAGCCUCUAGUCGAUGAUCAAUGGCCACACAACCCCCAUUUUUGUCGAAAAUAGCCAUGAAUGACCAUUUUCAAAAUACCAAGGCUAACACGUAUGGAUUUUUGACCAAGAAAUGGUCUCCACCAGGAAUCCAAGAAUGUGAUCUAUGGCAAGGAAACAUAUGUGGGGUGAGGUGUAUGAUCCUCUGGUCGGUGAUCAAUGGCCACACAACCCCCAUUUUGCCGAAAAUAGCCAUGAACGACCAUUUUCAAUAAUACCGAAGGCUAACACGUACGAGUUUUUAACCAAGAAAUGGUCUCCACCAGAAAUCCAAGAAUGUGAUCUAUGGCAAGGAAACAUAUGUGGGGUGCGGUUUAUGAGCCUCUAGGUGAUGAUAAAUGGCCACACAACCCCCAUUUUUUAUGAAAAUAGCCAUGAGCGACCAUUUUCAAUAAUACUAGAGGCUAAGACCUACGGAUUUUAGACCAAGAAAUGGUCUCCACCAGAAAUCCAAGAAUGUGAUCUAUGGCAAGGAAACAUAUGUGGGGUGAGGUGUAUGAGCAUCUGGUCGAUGAUCAAUGGCCACACACCCCCAUUUUUGUCGAAAAUAGCCAUGAACGACCAUUUUCAAUAAUACCGAAGGCUAACACCUACGGAUUUUUGACCAAGAAAUGGUCUCCACCAGAAAUCCAAGAAUGUGAUCUAUGGCAAGGAAACAUAUGUGGGGUGAGGUGUAUGAGCCUCUAGUCGAUGAUCAAUGGCCACACAACCCCCAUUUUUGUCGAAAAUAGCCAUGAACGACCAUUUUCAAUAAUACCGAAGGCUAACACCUACGGAUUUUUGACCAAGAAAUGGUCUCCACCAGAAAUCCAAGAAUGUGAUCUAUGGCAAGGAAACAUAUGUGGGGUGAGGUGUAUGAGCCUCUGGUUGAUGAUCAAUGGCCACACAACCCCCAUUUUGCCGAAAAUAGCCAUGAAUGACCAUUUUCAAUAAUACCGAAGGCUAACACGUACGAGUUUUUAACCAAGAAAUGGUUUCCACCAGAAAUCCAAGAAUGUAAUCUAUGGCAAGGAAACAUAUGUGGGGUGAGGUUUAUGAGCCUCUAGUCGAUGAUAAAUGGCCACACAACCCCCAUUUUUUAUGAAAAUAGCCAUGAGCGACCUUGAAAAUAGCCAUGAGCGACCAUUUUCAAUAAUACUAGAGGCUAACACCUACGGAUUUUAGACCAAGAAAUGGUCUCCACCAGAAAUCCAAGAAUGUGAUCUAUGGCAAGGAAACAUAUGUGGGGUGAGGUGUAUGAGCGUCUGGUCGAUGAUCAAUGGCCACACAACCCCCAUUUUUGUCGAAAAUAGCCAUGAACGACCAUUUUCAAUAAUACCGAAGGCUAACACCUACGGAUUUUUGACCAAGAAAUGGUCUCCACCAGAAAUCCAAGAAUGUGAUCUAUGGCAAGGAAACAUAUGUGGGGUGAGGUGUAUGAGCCUCUGUCGAUGAUCAAUGGCCACACAACCCCCAUUUUUGUCGAAAAUAGCCAUGAAUGACCAUUUUCAAAAAUACCAAAGGCUAACACGUACGGAUUUUUGACCAAGAAAUGGUCUCCACCAGAAAUCCAAGAAUGUGAUCUAUGGCAAGGAAACAUAUGUGGGGUGAGGUGUACGAGCCUCUGGUCGAUGAUCAAUGGCCACACAACCCCCAUUUUGCCGAAAAUAGCCAUGAAUGACCAUUUUCAAUAAUACCGAAGGCUAACACGUACGAGUUUUUAACCAAGAAAUGGUCUCCACCAGAAAUCCAAGAAUGUGAUCUAUGGCAAGGAAACAUAUGUGGGGUGAGGUUUAUGAGCCUCUAGUCGAUGAUAAAUGGCCACACAACCCCCAUUUUUUAUGAAAAUAGCCAUGAGCGACCUUGAAAAUAGCCAUGAGCGACCAUUUUCAAUAAUACUAGAGGCUAACACCUACGGAUUUUAGACCAAGAAAUGGUCUCCACCAGAAAUCCAAGAAUGUGAUCUAUGGCAAGGAAACAUAUGUGGGGUGAGGUGUAUGAGCGUCUGGUCGAUGAUCAAUGGCCACACAACCCCCAUUUUUGUCGAAAAUAGCCAUGAACGACCAUUUUCAAUAAUACCGAAGGCUAACACCUACGGAUUUUUGACCAAGAAAUGGUCUCCACCAGAAAUCCAAGAAUGUGAUCUAUGGCAAGGAAACAUAUGUGGGGUGAGGUGUAUGAGCCUCUGGUCGAUGAUCAAUGGCCACACAACCCCAUUUUUGUCGAAAAUAGCCAUGAACGACCAUUUUCAAUAAUACGAAGGCUAACACCUACGGAUUUUUGACCAAGAAAUGGUCUCCACCAGAAAUCCAAGAAUGUGAUCUAUGGCAAGGAAACAUAUGUGGGUGAGGUGUAUGAGCCUCUGGUCGAUGAUCAAUGGCCACACAACCCCCAUUUUUGUCGAAAAUAGCCAUGAAUGACCAUUUUCAAUAAUACCGAAGGCUAACACUACGGAUUUUUGACCAAGAAAUGGUCUCCACCAGAAAUCCAAGAAUGUGAUCUAUGGCAAGGAAACAUAUGUGGGGUGAGGUGUACGAGCCUCUGGUCGAUGAUCAAUGGCCACAGAACCCCCAUUUUGCCGAAAA
rnacentral:lncRNA from 1 species